GCGCGAAAACUUUACAAUGCUGGCAACAGCGAUAAGGGAACCUCGAGUGCCAGGUUACAAAUCUGGCUGUCGAGAUGCCUAAAAAGCAUUUCAUAGCAAGGGCCGGGCAAGACCGGUGCCAGCCGCCGCGGUAACACCGGCGGCUCGAGUGGUAACCGUUAUUAUUGGGUCUAAAGGGUCUGUAGCCGGCCGGAUAAGUCUCUUGAGAAAUCUGGCAGCUUAACUGUCAGGCUUUCAGGAGAUACUGUCUGGCUUGAGGCCGGGAGAGGUGAGAGGUACUUCAGGGGUAGGGGUGAAAUCUUGUAAUCCUUGAAGGACCACCAGUGGCGAGGGCGUCUCACCAGAACGGACCUGACGGCAAGGGACGAAAGCUAGGGGCACGAACCG
rnacentral:rRNA from 1 species